GACAGAGGUGCCGAGCGUUAGGCGGAAUCACUGGGCUUAAAGCGUGUGUAGGCGGGCCGUUAAGUGCCCCGUGAAAUCCCCCGGCUCAACCGGGGAACGGCGGGGCAUACUGGCGGCCUUGAGCCACUUAAGGGCAGACGGAACAAGCGGUGGAGCGGUGAAAUGCGUAGAUAUCGCUUGGAACGCCAAAGGUGAAAACAGGCUGCUGGGGUUGUGCCGACGCUGAGACACGAAAGCCAGGGGAGCAAACGGG
rnacentral:rRNA from 1 species